UACAGAGGGUGCGAGCGUUGUCCGGAAUCACUGGGCGUAAAGGGCGCGUAGGUGGCCUGGUAAGUAGGGGGUGAAAUCUCGCGGCUCAACUGCGAGGCUGCCUCCUAAACUGUCAGGCUCGAGCAGAGUAGAGGCAGGUGGAAUUCCCGGUGUAGCGGUGGAAUGCGUAGAGAUCGGGAAGAACAUCGGUGGCGAAGGCGGCCUGCUGGGCUGUUGCUGACACUGAUGCGCGAAAGCGUGGGGAGCAAACAGG
rnacentral:rRNA from 1 species